CCCAAAGGAGGAAGAAUCCUCCCCACCCCACGUAACACCCUCUCUCUCUCUACCCCUUCUUCUUUCUCGACGGAAAUUGCAGCAGAUCGCCGCCUUGACCGCCUCCGCCAUCGGCCGCUGCUCUCGGCACGCCCCAACCGCUGCACCCGACGCCGUCGCUGUUGUGUGGUUCAGCCGUCGCUGCUGUUUCGCGCCGCUGCUGCUCGUCGCCGGAGUCCCGCCGUCGCUGCCGGGGACGCGACGCCACCGCUGCCAGCAGCAGCUCUCGGUCAGUCCCCGCCAUCCGUUGCUCCGAUUCACCCCGAAACAGACCCGACGCCUCUGACCCUAACCCGAUUCGCCCCGCAAGUAAGGUUCUUAGUUUGGUUUCGAAAAUUCCAGUUCUUUAAAGGUUCAAUCUUUUAUCCGGUUUUCGCUGAUUCAAUCGUUUAGGAGGUGAUUUACAGAUUAAUAGAUGGUAGAGUUUGAUGUAAGAAUGCAGCAGUUUCAAAUCGGAUUUGGUUGGAGGGGGUGUAUACCUUCAAUAAUCUGAGACGGAUUACGGAGGAGGAAUAUCUUUUCACGGAGGAGGAAGAUAUCUGCAGGAUCUUUAUUUAGUAAUUGGAUUAAUAUCAAGGAGAAACUUUAAUUAAAUUAGUUUAAUUCACGGUCCAUUGUAUUUUAUUUUAAUUUGCGCAGUCCAUAAUUUAUUUAUCACGGACUGGACCUUUAUAUAAUUAUUUAUUUA